CUACGGGAGGCAGCAGUGGGGAAUAUUGGGCAAUGGGCGAAAGCCUGACCCAGCCACGCCGCGUGAGUGAUGAAGGCCUUCGGGUCGUAAAGCUCUGUGGGGAGGGACGAACAAGUGCGUACCUAACACGUGCGUGCCCUGACGGUACCUCCUUAGCAAGCACCGGCUAACCAUGUGCCAGCAGCCGCGGUAAUACAUGGGGUGCAAACGUUGCUCGGAAUCAUUGGGCGUAAAGCGCACGUAGGCGGCCACUUAAGUCGGAUGUGAAAGCCCUUGGCUUAACCGAGGAAGUGCAUCCGAAACUGAGCGGCUUGAGUACGAAAGAGGGUCGCGGAAUUCCCGGUGUAGAGGUGAAAUUCGUAGAUAUCGGGAGGAACACCGGCGGCGAAGGCGGCGACCUGGUUCGAGACUGACGCUGAGGUGCGAAAGCGUGGGGAGCAAACAGGAUUAGAUACCCCGGU
rnacentral:rRNA from 1 species